GGAGAGGUGUGUGAGUGGUUGAAACAGCAGGUCUCGAAAACCUGUAGGCUGCAAGGCCUCGAGGGUUCAAAUCCCUCCCUCUCCGCCA
rnacentral:tRNA from 1 species